rnacentral:rRNA from 1 species
AACGAACGCUGGCGGCACGCCUAACACAUGCAAGUCGCACGAGAAAGUUCCCGCAAGGGGACCGGUAAAGUGGCAGACGGGUGAGUAACGCGUGGGUAACCUACCCUCGAGUGGGGGAUAACCCCGCGAAAGCGGGGCUAAUACCGCAUAACAUCCCGGAACGCGAGUUUUCGGGAUCGAAGGUGGCUCGCAAGAGCUACCGCUCGGGGAGGGGCUCACGUUCCAUCAGCUAGUUGGUGGGGUAACGCCUACCAAGGCGACGAUCGGUAGCUGGUCUGAGAGGACGACCAGCCACACUGGGACUGAGACACGGCCCAGACUCCUACGGGAGGCAGCAGUGGGGAAUAUUGGACAAUGGGCGAAAGCCUGAUCCAGCGAUGCCGCGUGUGUGAAGGAAGGCCUGC